rnacentral:rRNA from 1 species
UCUACGGGAGGCUGCAGUGGGGAAUAUUGGACAAUGGGCGAAAGCCUGAUCCAGCCAUGCCGCGUGUGUGAAGAAGGCCUUCGGGUUGUAAAGCACUUUCAGUGGGGAAGAAAGCCUUGGGGCUAAUACCCUCGAGGAAGGACAUCACCCACAGAAGAAGCACCGACUAACUCCGUGCCAGCAGCCGCGGUAAUACGGAGGGUGCGAGCGUUAAUCGGAAUUACUGGGCGUAAAGCGCGCGUAGGCGGUCUGAUAAGCCGGUUGUGAAAGCCCCGGGCUCAACCUGGGAACGGCAUCCGGAACUGUCAGGCUAGAGUGCAGGAGAGGAAGGUAGAAUUCCCGGUGUAGCGGUGAAAUGCGUAGAGAUCGGGAGGAAUACCAGUGGCGAAGGCGGCCUUCUGGACUGACACUGACGCUGAGGUGCGAAAGCGUGGGUAGCAAACAGGAUUAGAUACCCUUGUAGUC